CGCGACUCUCGUCCCGCCGCCGCCGCCCUCCUGCCUCCAAGCCCUAAGCCCCUGCCGGAUCCGCCCCUCCCCAAUUCUUCGCGGCCAAGAAGCGGAGGCCCUCGUCGCAGCAUGGGAGCCCCGGGGCCGCCAAGGGGUCCCUGGUCCGGUCCCCUCCCGCCGUGGCGGCGGUGGCGGGGUCGUCGUCGGCCCUGGCCGGCUCCCCCUCAGGCGCCCGGAGCGAACUGCGCGCGGAGCCCCACGGCCUCCGCCUCGAGGCGGACGACGCGGGACGCGAGUGCGAUGGAGGUGAUCUUGCGCACCUCCAUCGUCCACCAGCUGCUCGAGAUGGAGUCCGUGGCCGGCGAGAAGACCAGCGGCGUGGCGGACAGGCCCGUCGUAAGCCAUGUAUGAGCAGGGUGUUGGCCGCUCGUCCUCUGUCCCGAGUUUAGGUUGCCCGUAUGAGAAAAGAGAGAAGAGGAUUAAUCUUCCUCUGCCAGAUCUGAGAAAAAAGAGAAAAGGAUGAAUCUUGAGGAAGAGCUUGGUGAAGAACAAGGUUCGAGGAUGUAAAUCUAUCUGAUAUGUUGUUGAUGGGGAUUAAGAUUAUUGUAUUGACAUAUCUGAAAGUAUUCUACUGACAUAUCUGAGAAUUUUUAUGAUCUACCAGCAACUAGGUGUUAAGCUUCAGGAUGGGUGCAUGUUUCUUUUUGUCGGAAACAAAACAGAUUCUUUUAUAACUGAGGUUAUAUUUAACUGCAUGCACUUACUUUAGCUUAGGGGACAGGGGUUCAUCUGUCCGGUAGCACAUCAUUGGAGAAAAAUGACAUGAUCAAAAGGAAAUAGAUUUCAGUGCAGGCUCGUGCACCUGUUUUCCUUUUCCCCUUCGAUGGGGUCGUUCAGUUGAGGUGAAGCAAGCAAGCACCUCCCCGUGCCUUGCAUACCAAGGAGAGAGCGAGCCAUUGCAGAGGAGAGGGGAUACGAGGGUGGGCAGAGGUCAGGCAUUGCUAACAGAUUUGCGGCGGAGUGGGAAGCCGGCGCCUCAUCACUGGCUCCUGUUUGGCAUCGGCAAAGAGAAAGCUGCCGAGGAUGUGUUGCUCUAUGCACUGCUGUCGAAGUACAUCCUUGCUAUGAUGUAUUUUCAGUGGCUUUCUCCAUUAGAAUGUUUCUCGUCAACGACCAUAUCAACCUGUCUGGUGUUCGCACAUGUCAUUUUGGUUGAGUUUACUGCCAUUCCGCCUCUUCCUCGUGAUGGUAUAGGAGUACACACUAAUUCGAUAAAUAAGAGGCGAAGUUGCCAACGCCUGAGAUAGUGGUUCCUACCUCUGGCCUUCGCACCUUUAGUUCCGCAAGUAGUUCAGCAACUCAAAUGAGCUCGAGGCAGAGAUGGCGGAGCUCGGGCGAGCUCGAGACUAUGGAUCCAGGGCUUGAGUGCUCACGGGAUGGAGGCAGGGAAGGGCGCCCUACGGGAAGUGAUUUAUGUGCUCCUUGAUCUGGCUUUUUAUAACUGAUGACAUCUUACAUUGUUGUCUUUUACCGAUUAACUGGUUAACUCUUUUCCUAAAUGGUCUUAGAUUUCUGCUUUCUAUUUGCGCCAGUUUCUUUUUACAAGAGAUGAGAUCUUACACAAUAUAUUUUUGCCUUGGUUGAUCUAAUUAAGAUUUUCCUUCAGCGCGUGCAUAUGAUGUGAAUAUAAAGCUAUUUGGAAGAACAUAUCCAUGGGCGAAAAAAUAUUAUCAUGUAUUUUGUCUGUCAUUUUGCUUGUGUUGAUGUAAUUUAUUGAGCUUUUUCACACGUCAUGAUAUUAUGCCUUAAUUUCUACUAGGCUGCUUUUACAUUUAAAAUUCAUUGUACAAACAUUAUUUACCUAAUUUAUGGAAACAAUAAAUUUGUAGCUUAGGUCAACUAGGAGAUGAUGUAAACCAAGUCACUCACCAGUUUAAGAUGGUAUGUUCUGAACUUUCAUUGCUUUAUGAAUGGACAAAAGAUGUUAGAUAUGCAUGCUACUACAGUUUAGCCAUUUUUCAGUUUUCUACAUGAGCCACAGUGCCGAAGCCUUUGGACAGGCACUUUGUGGUAGAAUGUGUCAAACAUAGGUCUGUUUGCUAGAAUAUGUGUUGUGCCGAUGCUGCAACUAGCAUACGCAAAAUCACUUUGCUAUAUAUUUUUCAUAAUACUACAUUCCAUCAAUUAACUGACUUAUUGUUUUGAAUCUACUUACAUAGGUGUUUACAGAUUUACUUUGUUCCAGCGCCUACUUUGGAUCAUAGGAAACUAAAAAAGAGAGGGCGCCGCCACCACCGUCAUCAGGCUGGUCCACAUCCACGCGCUGCUCGGCGUCACCAGGUCACCGGCACAACUCCUCACGCCUAGGUCGUUCAACAUUUUCUUCCGCUUUUGGUGCGUCACAUUUAGAGUCUUUCUUUCUCAUUUUACCGUGUUUGCAUGGUAAGAUGUUUGGUCGGAUUUGAAGAUUUGUAGCCUUGGCUCCAAAGCUACAAGCUCUUAUCUAACCUAUAAACCUCGCUAGAGUACCCGCGUAACUGGAGGCAUCGCUUGCGCCCAACGUUUUUGACCGCUUGAUUGAAUUACAACAGUGAUUUUUUGGCUGCUGGCGGCUGGUCAACCGUCCACUGUUUUUCACGUUUAAGACUGUGUCAGGAGAGAAUGACGGGUGGGGUCAUGAGCCAAUGGGGGCCAUCCAGCAGAGGGAGGGUUUCCUGGAGCCCAGGUCAAUGAUUGGCUGAAGGUGGGUUGUUCCCGAUUGGCCAGGACCAAUCCUCGACGACAGCCAGGACCAAUCCCCUCCCGAAAACCUAGCGCACUCGGGGCCAAUCCUCUUCGUCCUCGAGCCCCUCUUCUCCUCCCUGCACGCCAUCUCGCCGUUCCCAUCUCGCCUCCCUCGCGCUCGCACCGCCGCCUUCUCUCCCCGGUGCUCGAGGUGUAGCAGCAGGGGCGCCGGUCCUCGAUCCAGCCGGCACCACCUCUCCUCCUCUCUCUCUCCCAUGCCGCCACUGUUGCAAGGAGCAGGGGAGAUAGGCGACGAGGACAAGAAGCAGCAGGCUGGUCGCGAUGGGCUUGAGGUGCUGGGAAGACGGAGGAGUCCGUCGUGGUUCGUCAUGGAGGCGGCGCCGCCGGCCAGGGGACAUCGUUGGUGCGCUCGGUGCAGGUUCUUCUUUUUCAUGAAACCGACCUCAUUCUCCCGUUCUUGCUAUCUUGUGCGAUUUGAUUCUUCUCUUUCUUUUCCUCUUGCAGGAUCGUCGGGGCUGCUCUCGUUCGUUCAGUUUGUCAUUGUUCCUUUCGCUCUACUCCUGCUCAAGAGGCUUACUUGCAGUCCCUGAGCAAGGCUCUGUCGCACUACCACAAGGCCCAACUGCUGCUCCUCGACAUCACCGACUUCUCGCUGUGGGUCAGCAGCAAGAGAUCAAAUCCAGAGCAAGUAUGAGAGCUCCAGUAAGGCCAUCGUCCAGAACCAGUCCAUGUCUGAGACGAUGUUUGGAAGGGUGUCCGAUUUCAUCGCACCUUUUGCAAUGUUUCCUAAGACGGAUGAGCCUAGAGGUACCAGAACAAUACAAUUCAAUCUCUUCUCAUGUUCCUGCGAGAGUAGAUACAGUGUACUGUGUUGGAUAUGCUGACUCGUUUUGAGGGAGCUAGAAAAUCUGUGGUGCUUCCUGGAAUCACGUUAUUCAAGAUAUGGAAGAUCUAAAAUCCUCUGAAAGAUUUUGGUUCUGCGGAAGCCAAUGAUCUGGCACUGGGACCUUAACUUCUGGAGUGAACGACUGCGGGAAUCAAAAUACAAUAUUGAUGAGGUUCUUUCUUUACAGAAAUCGAUUACAAUAUUAAUGAAAUUAGCUCCUGGCCAUUGCAUAUUUGCAUACUUAUUGGAAUUCGGUUUUAUCAUUAAUUGUAGAUUUAACUUUUUAGCUCUGAUGUAUGAGAAAACUAUCUGCAUUUCUUAUCUAUCAUGGAUAUGCUGAUAUAUUGCUCUACUAAAAGGAAUUGUUGGCCUAAGAUGUUAUUAUAUACGUUACAUGUUAUUGGCUAAAUAUGAUACAUACUUUACAAACUCCUUACAGCUGGAGUAGGAUCCAAUGAACAGAUGAUGAAAAAUAAAUUAAGCACUUGCUUUGAUUUGUUCAAAUUUUUACAGAAACUGUUAGAACACACUUUUCUUUGCAAGCCGGAUACAAAGAGGAAUGUGUUAAAUAUAUGGAAGAUAAAAUUAUUUGCAAGCAAACUCUGCUUGUUUGCCAUAUUUUGCGCACCGUCUUAAAAUUAUUUGUCCAAUGGAAGGACUCUCUGCAACAUCAAUUCCAGUAUGUUGCUUUAGUUGUUCUGUGUGAUGCAAGGUAAUAUUUUUCUUGCAAUUUUUGCAUCUUUUACCUUUUCACUUCUGUUGAGAGAAACAUGUUGUUUAUAAGACGGACCAAUACUCACCAUAUAUGAUAUUCUUCCACCAAAUAAAUAUUUUUUGAGUGCAACUAAAAUCGUUUUCCUGCUCAUUCAUGAUACUGUGGUCUGACAUAGCCGAUGGAUGUUCAGGUUUCUCUAUUAUUUGCAAUGCCUUCUAGAUAUCCAUUCUGCAUGUGUUCUUCUGUUUACUUUCAAGAUAUCCUGGCUCUCUGGAAUAUGCCCUGUUCAGCUGAAAGGAUGUAUUGCAAUUAUGCAGAGAGAUGGAAUUGUCCGGACUCCAGUGCCACUUCAGUUUUCUAAUUUUUGCAGGGAUAUUGAGUGAGGGCUGGUCUAAACUUUAAGAGAAUAACUUAUUACAUUCUGGGAUCACCAACUUUUGGCGUUUGCUCGGACUAGUGUAUGUGGCCUACCGUAUCCGUGAUGUGGUGGCAGGAAGAGGCCAGUGCCACCAUUACUGUAUCCGUGUCAGGCAUGGUGGCAUGAAGAAGCAUAAAUUCAGAGUAUUGCUAUGAUGUCGCAUAAUAUUUGGUUAAAGCCUGCAAUUGUUUAGGUGAUAUGAACUUCCUUUAUCUUGAAUGGAUUUGAACUCCAGCCAAAUUCAAGUGAUGAAAGGUCAGUUUUGUGCUGAUUCACAAGUUUAGAUAUCGUCCCUCCAGUGUACUUCUUGGUUGAUUAAUGAAAAAUGCUUUCUGCUCAGUUCCCCGUCCUAGAUUAGUCUAUGUGUAUGAAAAGAAAAAUUCUUUUUUUGUAUAAUACUAUCGAUACCAUGGAAUAGUUUUUUACGAAUGAUCCUCUUUAGCUAACAUUUAAUCAAGGUUACCUAAAGAGAAUGAUAUCACUUCAUAAAAACCAUUCAUGAAGAGUAUCAUUCAUAAAAACAAUUCUCUUUAUGAUAGUAUUAUAUAGAAAAAGCUAACAUCUGUAUAAGGAGAAUCAUUCUCUUUAGCUAACAUUUAAUCAUUGUAUUUGGUGGAACUGGCUGUGGAGUAUUAGGUAGAUUGUGAUAUGGUGAAUUCUUUGUUAGACACGACAUUACGAGCUCCUCCUUCGCAGCAGUACAUGGAUUUUUUCUACAUAAAUCUCAUGAGUCCAUUAUGCCUUACGUAUCUGAACCUAUGAUUCUAGAGAAGAUAUAAUAUACUUCUGGAUUACACAAGGUAAAAUCCUCUUUCACUAACCCUUUCAACUUUCAAAUAUUGUCAGUUGGGGCUCACAAAAUAGAUUGAGUUGAUUUUGUUGUUCUUUUGUGCUAUCUGGACAGAGCUUAUUGUUUUAUUCCAUUCUUAGUCUACUGAUGGUAAAUGAUAUAUGGAAAAUCAACAUUUCAAGAUAAAUAAAAUGCCCCCAGUAUGUUUGUGUUCACAUGAUUACUGGCUCAUGUUUCUUUUAUGUGAUGCCAGGCUACUGUUUGAUGUUCUCUUUGUUGCUCUCACUUUGGUUAUAUACUACUAAAGCUUCAUAUAAUUUUCAUUUAGAUUUGGUGUUGUUAGCAUUAGACGGUGUACAUCAAAUAUGAAAGUAGGGCCAAGCAUCAAAGGCAAGGUGAAGGAAGGUGCCUGUGUGGUUCUUCUGCAGCUCGCAGCGAGGAUUGCUGUGUCCAACCUGCACAAGAAUGCCAAGAAGUCCUUGGAGACGUCCUCGCUGUGUCCAACCUGCACAAGAAUGCCAAGAAGUCCUUGGAGACGAUUAAGGACAUGUACCUGCACUACAACGAGAGAUCUGGGCUGCUUCUUUGUGGCUUCCAAACUUGAAAUGUUUGUUUGGAAGUUAGUUUAGUUUUUUGUUGUGGAUUCACAUCUUCUCACAUGUACCAUCCGCUUAGACCUUUAGAUUUCCAAAGAAACUAAAUGAAGAUAUGGUGGUAUGGUUUCAUUUGUACAACUUAAAGCCUUUCAUGCUCUAUAUUUUCUCUGAAAUUUGCUCUUGAAGAAUCA